UACAGAGGUCUCAAGCGUUGUUCGGAUUCAUUGGGCGUAAAGGGUGCGUAGGCGGCGGGGCAAGUCAGGUGUGAAAUCCCGGGGCUCAACCCUGGAACUGCACUUGAUACUGCUUUGCUAGAGUACUGGAGAGGAGAUUGGAAUUUACGGUGUAGCAGUGAAAUGCGUAGAUAUCGUAAGGAAGACCAGUGGCGAAGGCGAAUCUCUGGACAGUUACUGACGCUGAGGCACGAAGGCCAGGGGAGCAAACGGG
rnacentral:rRNA from 1 species